rnacentral:rRNA from 1 species
GACGAACGCUGGCGGCGUGCCUAAUACAUGCAAGUAGAACGCUGAAACUUGGUGCUUGCACCGAGCGGAUGAGUUGCGAACGGGUGAGUAACGCGUAGGUAACCUGCCUGGUAGCGGGGGAUAACUAUUGGAAACGAUAGCUAAUACCGCAUAAGAGUAGAUGUUGCAUGACAUUUGCUUAAAAGGUGCAAUUGCACCACUACCAGAUGGACCUGCGUUGUAUUAGCUAGUUGGUGGGGUAACGGCUCACCAAGGCGACGAUACAUAGCCGACCUGAGAGGGUGAUCGGCCACACUGGGACUGAGACACGGCCCAGACUCCUACGGGAGGCAGCAGUAGGGAAUCUUCGGCAAUGGACGGAAGUCUGACCGAACAACGCCGCGUGAGUGAAGAAGGUUUUCGGAUCGUAAAGCUCGGUUGUAAGAGAAGAACGAGUGUGAGAGUGGAAAGUUCACACUGUGACGGUAUCUUACCAGAAAGGGACGGCUAACUACGUG